CAAAGAGCUGAAUCAGCUCGCAUCCCUUCCUCCAUGCUGGAGCAAAGUCAAACACAGGCACCUCCCACCCCAGGGAACUUUGGCCCCAGCCCUGAGGCCAGUUCAGACUGAAGACGACAAGGGAAGGUGUGCAGCCCAGGGUGAAGGCAGCUGUGUCAUGAGGUUGGGAGAGGCGGAAGAGCCUAGCCUGCUCCUGCCCUAUGGGUGAACUGACACCAAUCAUUGAGAACGGAUGUGAGUGGCCGAAGUCACUGGUCAGUAGACUCUCCGAAGCUCUGCCUGUUGACAUCCCCUCAGUAAGAAUGGACGGUCCUACUUGCACCUGGAGGAUCUCUGUCACUGACAAUGAGAUGCUGCCUCAACUUCCAAUGCAGGUGCAGAGUUUCAGAUAAGAGGUUUUAGGGACACAACAUUACAUUUGUCGUUAAAGAAUCGGGCCUUGGGUCCAAUUCCCAGUCCAGAUUUGAGACUGAACUCUGUGCCUUCAUCAUACUCCCAUUCCUAGAGGUGCUGGAUGUCUUAUCCUGGUGCCCCCACCAACUAGGAGGCUGACUCUUCCCUCCUAAUCCAUCCUCCCACCCCAGUCCCAACCGUCCCAAUUACUGUCUCCUCCGUGUUACCUUCCUCAUACCUCCCAUCCAGGUGCCCUUCCCACUGAUUACCUCUCCCCCGCACCCCCUUUCGUGCUGUUUUCUAAGGAGCCCCCUUUUCCUCGGCGCCCCGCAGCGGAACCCGAGCGCGGGAGGAGCGGCGCGACGCCGGACCGCCCGCGGGCGAGUGGUCCUCCCGGAAGUGCGCCUCGCCUCAGGGUCCCCCAGCACCCCCAGCACUGGGCCGAGAACCCACCU